rnacentral:misc_RNA from 1 species
GAUGAAGAACGUAGCGAAAUGCGAUAAGUAAUGUGAAUUGCAGAAUUCAGUGAAUCAUCGAAUCUUUGAACGCACCUUGCACUCCUUGGUAUUCCGAGGAGUACGCCUGUUCGAGUGUUAUGAAGCUCUCAAAACGCAAUUGGCUUAAAACCUGAUUGUUGUUUUGGAUUUGAACUUUGCCGUGUUAUAACGGCUGGUUUUAAAAGUAUUAGCUGGUACUAGAACGAAUUGGUUCUACUCAACGUGAUAAUUAUCUGAUCGUUGAGGACAUUCCUUUCACGAGGAAUGGCCAUAGUAAAUUCAAUGGACUGCUUCUAAUCUGGCGUUAAUUCUUUAUUGGAUUAACCACUUUUCAAAUCUGACCUCGAAUCAGGUGGGACUACCCGCUGAACUUAAGCAUAUCAAUAAGCGGAGGA